rnacentral:rRNA from 1 species
UGGGGAAUAUUGCACAAUGGAGGGAACUCUGAUGCAGCGACGCCGCGUGAACGAAGAAGGCUUUCGAGUCGUAAAGUUCUUUUAUAUGGGAAGAUAAUGACGGUACCAUAAGAAAAAGCCCCGGCUAACUACGUGCCAGCAGCCGCGGUAAUACGUAGGGGGCUAGCGUUGUCCGGAAUCACUGGGCGUAAAGGGUUCGCAGGCGGAAAUGCAAGUCAGGUGUAAAAGGCAGUAGCUUAACUACUGUAAGCAUUUGAAACUGCAUAUCUUGAGAAGAGUAGAGGUAAGUGGAAUUUUUAGUGUAGCGGUGAAAUGCGUAGAUAUAUGGAGGAACACCGGUGGCGAAAGCGGCUCUCUGGUCUGUAACUGACGCGGAGGCUCGAAAGCGUGGGGAGCGAACAGG